rnacentral:lncRNA from 1 species
GGUUAAUCAUCAAUCACUUUGGUGAUUUUAUCUUUCAAUGAUUUAUAAUAGUCGAUCAAUUAUCUCAUCAGACAAGAAUCUCUUUUGUGUAUGAUCUUAUAGAUUCCAUUAUGUCUGGUAGUGAGAUAUAUUGUGAUCUCUAUUACAAUAUCAUUGAAACUCCUUUCGAUGGAUUGGAACAAUUUCAAUUCUGUUUUUAUGGAUCAUCGAUCAUCAAAAUGAUGCUCAAUGAGUUUCACAAUCCAUCAGUGACUUCUAGCAGUAUGUAGUGGCAAUCCAGCAAAAUAAAAGUAUCGAACCUUUAGGUGCAGUUGUCGUAUAGUUCAAUUUUUCUGUCAUGUGUCCUGAUAAGAUGUAGGUCAAAAAAAAUUCGUCAAAUCUAUUCGUCCGUCAUAUGUCGGAUUCAAUCGACUCAAGUCCAUGUGAAACUUUAUGAAAAUUUCUUUCCAUCAUUCACCUAUCAUAGCCAUAGAUUUUAGGAUUCAGUCUCAUGAAUUGCAUAAGACCUCUCCCUAUCUAUCAGGAUUAACAGAUCUCUUCUAUAUGCACACUCUAUUCUUAUAAUGGAUCUACUGUAGUCAAUAUACACUGCAAGAUUCUGAAUGGCUAAGUAACCAAGUGACUGUGUAGUCAAGCUACAACAAUUCUACUAUAAACAGUCGAGGCAUCGUAAGUCAAAGAACUAUCUACAUCACUGCAACUUUGAGUAAGUCAUUGAUGAGUGAGUAGCUAUCUUAGUGACUUUUCGUAUUGGUCACGCUCAAUACCCUUGAUCUCUAUCAAGCAUCUGUAUUCUCAUUCUAGUAUCCUCACACUAUCGACUCGAGACUUGUCUAUCCAUGAAGGAAAGCGAUCUGUGCACCAAUCUAUUCGGAUCAGUCACCAUCUUCGUGACGAUCUAUCGAUCGAGAAAAUUUAUGAAUUAAUCAUUAAUGACACGUGCCUCAAAUUUUCAACUCCUGAGAAUACACAUUAUCAUUCGUCAAUUCUUCGGAUGAUUCAUUGAUAAUUAAAAUACAAUAUGAAUAGAAGAAUAAUCUAAUUUUUAUUUAUUUUAAAGUUCAAUUACAAAGUUAUAUCUCUAGAAUGUAUACAUGUGUUAGUCAAGCUGGC